rnacentral:rRNA from 1 species
AGCUCCAAUAAGGAAAACUAAAGUUGCUGUGUUUAAAAAGCUCGUAGUUGAAUUUCGGGUAUUUGUUGCUAGCUGGUCUCUAUGGCCAUGUUGGUUAACAGAUCCUCAUUUGCUGGACGGCUGGCAAUGAUCUUUAUCGGUUGUUGUCAGUUGCCAGAACGUUUACUUUGAGAAAAUUAGAGUGCUAAAAGCAGGCUCACGCCUAUAUAUAUUGCAUGGAAUAAUGAAAUAAGAUCUCGAUUUUAUUUCGUUGGUUUUAGAAAUUGAGAUAAUGAUUAAUAGGAUCAGAGGGGGGCGUACGUACUGUGGUGUGAGAGGUGAAAUUCUUGGACCGGCGCAAGACGGACCUAAGCGAAAGCAUUUGCCAAGAAUGUUUUCA